UACGUAGGGGGCAAGCGUUGUCCGGAUUUAUUGGGUUUAAAGGGUGCGUAGGCGGCCCUGUAAGUCAGUGCUGAAAUACCCCGGCUUAACCGGGGGGGUGGCAUUGAUACUGCAGGGCUUGAGUACAGAUGAGGUAGGCGGAAUUGACGGUGUAGCGGUGAAAUGCAUAGAUAUCGUCAAGAACACCGAUAGCGAAGGCAGCUUACUGGGCUGUAACUGACGCUGAUGCACGAAAGUGUGGGGAUCAAACAGG
rnacentral:rRNA from 1 species